rnacentral:tRNA from 1 species
CGGGACGUGGCGCAGCCUGGUAGCGCGCACCCUUGGGGUGGGUGAGGCCGCUGGUUCGAAUCCAGUCGUCCCGACCA